rnacentral:rRNA from 1 species
UCACCGUACUUGAAGAAUGUGCCACCGCUAAUUCCGUGCCAGCACCCGCGGUAAUACGGGAGUGGCAAGCGUUAUCCGGAAUUAUUGGGCGUAAAGCGUCCGCAGGCGGCCCUGUAAGUCUGUCGUUAAAGCGUGCAUCUUAACUCCAUUUAAGCGAUGGAAACUACAAGGCUUGAGUGUGGUAGGGGC